AAGACUACUUUCAGGGGUCCUUUCUGUAGCUCUUUACUAGAGAAGUGUCUCUGGCCAUGUAGGAUACGGAAACCACCAGGAAGACACACAGCGUCUCCUGAGCGUGAAGCGGCUCUUGAUCCUUGGCUGCAGCCGCCGCCUGCUGUUGAGGAUCCUUCCUGCUCUCCUUCCGGGGAGCUGGAGGGAGAGGAUGCAGUCUGAGCGGC
ensembl:snoRNA U3 Small nucleolar RNA U3